rnacentral:lncRNA from 1 species
AUCUGGAUGAUACCCUUCUUUCUGUAGGGGAGGAGAGUAGGUGCUGUGGGAUGGAUGCAAUUCUUACACCUCUCUGAAGUGAUAUUCCAGUAAGGAAAUGGUGCAAACAAGCUAUGCACCAUUGGCCGUGACAUGAUCACAGCAGGACUGUGCUGAAGAGCUCUUCUGAGAUGUGCGACUGGUCACUGAAGUGCUCUGCCUGUGCAGCAAAUUAAUCCCAGCCAUACAAGGUGGUGCUUGACAGAACAAUAUAAAAUAAACAA